UACGUAGGGGGCAAGCGUUGUCCGGAAUUAUUGGGCGUAAAGCGCGUGUAGGCGGUUACGUAAGUCUGCUGUGAAAGUCGGAGGCUCAACCUUCGAAAGCCGGUGGAUACUGCGUGACUAGAGUACGGAAGAGGAGAGUGGAAUUCCUGGUGUAGCGGUGAAAUGCGCAGAUAUCAGGAGGAACACCAACGGCGAAGGCAGCUCUCUGGGACGUUACUGACGCUGAGACGCGAAAGCGUGGGGAGCAAACAGG
rnacentral:rRNA from 1 species